GAGUAGUAGUGGUAACUGGUUUGUAAGGUUUGGUGUAAGAUACCAACAGUUGUCCUCUGCUAAAAGCUCGAAUGCUUGCAGUAACCUCCACGUAUCGCGUAAGUGCGGAAACUACACAUAAACGAGGGACCGUAGGAAAAAAUGGAUAAGAUAUAGAUGUUGAAUUCGUUUUGGUUCUACGAGACACCGUGAAGGUAACCCCUUCCGGUGAGAUCGAGAACC